rnacentral:tRNA from 2 species
GCCGUUGUAGCUCAGGGGUAGAGCACUUCCUUGGUAAGGAAGAGGUCGUGAGUUCAAUUCUCAUCAACGGCUC